rnacentral:rRNA from 1 species
GUCACGGCUUAACUACGUGCCAGCAGCCGCGGUAAUACGUAGGUGGCAAGCGUUGUCCGGAUUUAUUGGGCGUAAAGCGAGCGCAGGCGGAAGAAUAAGUCUGAUGUGAAAGCCCUCGGCUUAACCGAGGAACUGCAUCGGAAACUGUUUUUCUUGAGUGCAGAAGAGGAGAGUGGAACUCCAUGUGUAGCGGUGGAAUGCGUAGAUAUAUGGAAGAACACCAGUGGCGAAGGCGGCUCUCUGGUCUGCAACUGACGCUGAGGCUCGAAAGCAUGGGUAGCGAACAGGAUUAGAUACCCUGGUAGUCCAUGCCGUAAACGAUGAGUGCUAAGUGUUGGGAGGUUUCCGCCUCUCAGUGCUGCAGCUAACGCAUUAAGCACUCCGCCUGGGGAGUACGACCGCAAGGUUGAAACUCAAAGGAAUUGACGGGGGCCCGCACAAGCGGUGGAGCAUGUGGUUUAAUUCGAAGCAACGCGAAGAACCUUACCAGGUCUUGACAUCUAGUGCCAUUUGUAGAGAUACAAAGUUCCCUUCGGGGACGCUAAGACAGGUGGUGCAUGGCUGUCGUCAGCUACGUUCGU